rnacentral:rRNA from 1 species
AGAGUUUGAUCCUGGCUCAGAAUGUGAACGCUGGCGGCAUGCCUAACACAUGCAAGUCGAACGGCAGCACAGCAGUAGCAAUACUGUGGGUGGCGAGUGGCGGACGGGUGAGUAAUGCAUCGGGACCUACCCAGACGUGGGGGAUAACGUAGGGAAACUUACGCUAAUACCGCAUACGUCCUACGGGAGAAAGCGGGGGGGACCUUCGGGCCUCGCGCGGUUGGACGGACCGCAUGUUGUCCAUAUAACCUAUAUUGGGUUAGGGGUUAUUGGGCCCUAACCCAAGGGCCGAACGAAUCCGCCUAAGCCUGGGUUCCUUGAAGAAGGGAAUUGAAUUCAGGCCCCACCACCCUGGGAAAACCUGAAAGAAACACCGGGGUCCCCAAGAAACCUCCCCUUACCCGGGGGAAAGGGGCCAAGCCCAGGUUGGGGGGGGGAAAA